rnacentral:rRNA from 1 species
UGGGGAAUUUUGCACAAUGGGGGAAACCCUGAUGCAGCAACGCCGCGUGGACGAUGAAGACCCUUGGGUUGUAAAGUCCUUUCGGCAGGGACGAAUUCCCGCAAGGGAUUGACGGUACCUGCAGAAGAAGCCCCGGCUAACUCCGUGCCAGCAGCCGCGGUAAUACGGGGGGGGCAAGCGUUGUUCGGAAUUAUUGGGCGUAAAGGGCGCGUAGGCGGUGCGGUAAGUCUGCUGUGAAACCUCCAGGCUUAACUUGGAGCUGGCAGCAGAAACUGCCGUGCUAGAGUGCGGGAGAGGAGAGUGGAAUUCCUGGUGUAGCGGUGAAAUGCGUAGAUAUCAGGAGGAACACCGGUGGCGAAGGCGGCUCUCUGGACCGCAACUGACGCUGAGGCGCGAAAGC